AGCCGCUUGUGGCUGAUGUAUAUGUGAUAUGUAGAAAGUUUCAUAUUAUCCGUCGUAUAGGGGAGAUGUUGCCGAAAUUUCUUCGGACAAAGACUCCUCUGGGGCGUGACAGUGUGACCCAGUUAAGGGCUCAUCCAUUGGGUUAAAAUCUUUCCAAGAAUUCAAAGAGAAGGUGAUCAGGAUCGAAGAAAGCUUACUUCUGGAGCUAGGGUUAUAAUAGUAUCUAGAUCUGAUGAUAAUGAAGAUUUUUGACUUCCGAAUUCCAACAAAUAUAUGCAUUAUCUCUCUCAGUUCGCAAUCGUGGAGCAUUGAAGUUCUUGCAAGUGCCAUUGGUUCGACACGUCGUUCCUCAACUUAUUUGAGCUAUUUCAGAAGCAUUGAUUUGUUUUCUUCUACCAACCAUUGUUAUAUUCUUCUAAUUUCCUCGAAGAUAAACUAAAUUUUCUCUUCAUUUCAGUGGCUUGAUAAUUAUGUGCAUACUGUUUCGAUACACUAUGUACUAUGUAGAACUAACAGAGCAGCUCCUACUUUAUUAACUAGGUCCUUCGACACA